GUCAGUACUCCGAGUCACCAAGCUGAAGAACUCUACAGUGCUCGAGGACUUCCUGGUCACGACUUCCUCUGUGGCGACAGGCGAGAGGCAAAAGACCUGCGGGGAAAAAUAUCCUGUGAUGGAAACUGAAACAACCCCAAGCAGUAACAACUGCCUGGACAGGAGCUCUGGUGGCCCAGACCACCCAGACCAGUUUAAGCUUAACACCUACCCUGACUCACACCUGUGCAGACGGACCCUGGCGUGGCCUACAGUUACCUUUACCUCCUCAUGAUACUAAAAUCUCCACCCAACGAGCCUCAGCCUCAUUUACAUUACAAUGUAUCUAUGGGCAUGUUUCCUUAAGGAACAGGCGUUGACCUUCUGCUCGCCUGUACAUGCGACGACAUGGCUCCCCAUCUAAAUGUUCAUCCUAAAUAAAAGAAACCUACUCACCCUC